GCUCAACCGGGGAGGGUCAUUGGAAACUGGGGAACUUGAGUGCAGAAGAGGAGAGUGGAAUUCCACGUGUAGCGGUGAAAUGCGUAGAGAUGUGGAGGAACACCAGUGGCGAAGGCGACCCUCUGGUCUGUAACUGACGCUGAGGCGCGAAAGCGUGGGGAGCGAACAGGAUUAGAUACCCUGGUAGUCCACGCCGUAAACGAUGAGUGCUAAGUGUUAGAGGGUUUCCGCCCUUUAGUGCUGCAGCAAACGCAUUAAGCACUCCGCCUGGGGAGUACGGUCGCAAGACUGAAACUCAAAGGAAUUGACGGGGGCCCGCACAAGCGGUGGAGCAUGUGGUUUAAUUCGAAGCAACGCGAAGAACCUUACCAGGUCUUGACAUCCUCUGACAACCCUAGAGAUAGGGCUUCCCCUUCGGGGGCAGAGUGACAGGUGGUGCAUGGUUGUCGUCAGCUCGUGUCGUGAGAUGUUGGGUUAAGUCCCGCAACGAGCGCAACCCUUGAUCUUAGUUGCCAGCAUUCAGUUGGGCACUCUAAGGUGACUGCCGGUGACAAACCGGAGGAAGGUGGGGAUGACGUCAAAUCAUCAUGCCCCUUAUGACCUGGGCUACACACGUGCUACAAUGGGCAGAACAAAG
rnacentral:rRNA from 1 species